rnacentral:lncRNA from 1 species
UCUAUUCACUUUUAAUCCAAUAUUACAUAAGUAUGUGAGGAAUACCUGGAUAAGAGAAAAAGCGAAGAUCAGUGAUGAAUGAAACAAAGAACAGUGACAGUAGAAACAACAAUACGCCAGUAGUGAAUCAGUGUUAAAACAGCCCAGAAAUCUCACUAAAACCAACAAUUCUCCAAGAUAAUGAACCAAGAAUCAAACUCUAAGACUCUUAUACGUUUCUGAAAGGUUUUUCACUCUAAGACUCAACAAAAAGCUCACAAAUUUCAGCUUACUCCUUAUGUAUUCAGCUGCUGAUUUUUCUCUCAAGUUUUUAUGCUUUAUUGAGUGUAAAAGAUGAUGGCUAAGUGUGUUCUUAAAAUCUGAUAAGGAACAGCCCUUAAGUAAGCAAAGAAAAUCACUUUUGGACAUCUUUUGGUUCACCAAAAGUCUAUCAAAAAGGACUCACUUUUGUUCACUGCUCAAAAAACUCACUUUUGUGUGCUAAAAGUCUGGUUAAGGACUGUCCAAAAGGAGAAGGACGGUCCUUCAACAACAUAUGGCAGAAGCAUGGGAAAGAAAAGUAUUUCAAUCACUCUAACACUAAAAUCAAGUUGCAAAUGUACCCUAAUACAUGAUUAUUCAUCUACUCUUCAGCUUUUUAAGCAAAUUGGUACCAAACCUACUUUGCACCAAACUAAAAUGAGAAACAAGUAACUAGAACUUAGUUAUACUACCACAAACAUGUAAAUAAAACCUAAAACUGAACUAUUAAUUAAUCAAGAUAACUUAAACCUAAUGACUAAAGCCAAACCAAGCAAGACACGUGUUGACAGUGAAAACAACUUAGUGAAAAAGUUUGAUUUAGGUGAAGAUGAAACUGAAAACUAGAUAGAAAGCAAACUAAAGUCAACAACUAACAGAACUUACACUACUACAAUAACUACAAUAAAGUAGUAGGCAACAGAAUAUUAGAAACCUAAAUAAAGGAUUAAGGUUCUAGUUAAAGUCCAAGAACUUUGAAACUUCAAUUAAAUAGCUCGAUGAAUUAAACGUGUAAUAACAGAAACUGCAAUUGAAGCUAAAAUUUACAAACUUGAAUCUAUAACUAAAUUCAAACCUAAGCAAAUACAUGUUAACAAUGAAAUAAACUAGCAAAAUUAAUUAUUCUGAACGACGAUAACAUUGAAAGCUAGAUAAACGCAAAGUAAAUGAUCAUGAAUAGAAUUAAAACUAAAAAACUACAAAUCAAACACAAAAGAAAACACAAAAUCAGAGACAUGGGUAAGAGGGAUUCGAGUUUUUACCACAUGAGGUGAUUUAAUUCUUACUCCAGAAAUAAGGAGGUAUCUGGGAGCACGACCAGCAGUUGUCCAACCUUGAAGCACCCAUUUCAUUCCGGAAAAUGCUGAAACAAAAGGAUUCAAGAAUUAUACCAGAAGAAAAAGAGGGUUCUUGGGUCGAAAGAAACAAAGAUAGAGAGACAGUAUGUUUGGUGGUGGUUCCCGCAGCUAGCGAGUUGCCGAAAAAAGCUCACCGGAAAACGACUACCAAAAUUCGGCUCCAAGACCAAUGCCAAAUGGUACAUCGAGUCGAGUUAUAAACCUCCAUGUAAGUGGUACGGGGUGAAGUGGCCUGAAUACUCACAAAUUUGGGAAAAUAUAAGGGGCUAAGGUUUCAGGAUUUUGCCUAUUCGUGGAGAUUCGUGAGGUUUUGGGGGUUUUGAGUAAAGGACAUGGAAAGAGGAGACAAAGAUGAGCAGAUGGUGAAAUUUUUGGGGUCUUCGGAGCUUAGACACCGCUCGUGGCGAGUUUCGGUGGGCGAUGCUGGCGGCGCGGGCGACUUAGGUCAGAGAGUGAGAGAGGGUGAGAAGAGAGAGCAAGAAAAGGAGAAUUAAGGGGGAA